rnacentral:rRNA from 1 species
CACAAUGGGGGAAACCCUGAUGCAGCCAUGCCGCGUGUGUGAAGAAGGCCUUCGGGUUGUAAAGCACUUUCAGUGGUGAGGAAAGGGUGGUAGUUAAUAGCUAUCACAGUUGACGUUAGCCACAGAAGAAGCACCGGCUAACUCCGUGCCAGCAGCCGCGGUAAU